UUGAAGAGAGGUUGGCGUUGCGGGCGCAGGGCGACGGGACAUCUUCCCGGGACCGACCUGUGUGCUGGUCCCGGAUUGACGGGUUUCCGACUCGUGUCUCUUGAUGGAGGCUCCCGGAGCCCGGCGGGCUUGGGCCUCAGUAUUAACAGAA
rfam:Cavia porcellus strain inbred line 2N cont2.2833, whole genome shotgun sequence.